rnacentral:rRNA from 1 species
AUACGGAGGGGGUUAGCGUUGUUCGGAAUUACUGGGCGUAAAGCGCGCGUAGGCGGACUGGAAAGUUGGGGGUGAAAUCCCGGGGCUCAACCCCGGAACUGCCUUCAAAACUAUCAGUCUAGAGUUCGAGAGAGGUGAGUGGAAUUGCGAGUGUAGAGGUGAAAUUCGUAGAUAUUCGCAGGAACACCAGUGGCGAAGGCGGCUCACUGGCUCGAUACUGACGCUGAGGUGCGAAAGUGUGGGGAGCAAACAGGAUUAGAUACCCUGGUAGUCCACACCGUAAACGAUGAAUGCCAGUCGUCGGGUUGCAUGCAAUUCGGUGACACACCUAACGGAUUAAGCAUUCCGCCUGGGGAGUACGGCCGCAAGGUUAAA